rnacentral:rRNA from 1 species
AAUGACCUCGGAUCAGGCAGGGAUACCCGGUGACUUAACU